CCUACGGGCGGCAGCAGUGAGGAAUAUUGCACAAUGGGCGAAAGCCUGAUGCAGCAACGCCGCGUGAGCGAAGAAGGCCUUUGGGUCGUAAAGCUCUGUCCUUGGGGAAGAAAAAAAUGACGGUACCCUUGGAGGAAGCCCCGGCUAACUACGUGCCAGCAGCCGCGGUAAUACGUAGGGGGCGAGCGUUAUCCGGAAUUAUUGGGCGUAAAGAGUGCGUAGGUGGUCUUGUAAGCGUGGGGUGAAAGGCAGUGGCUUAACCAUUGUUAGCCUUGCGAACUGUGAGACUUGAGUGCAGGAGAGGAAAGUGGAAUUCCUAGUGUAGCGGUGAAAUGCGUAGAUAUUAGGAGGAACAUCAGUGGCGAAGGCGACUUUCUGGACUGUAACUGACACUGAGGCACGAAAGCGUGGGGAGCAAACAGGCUUAGAUACCCCUGUAGUC
rnacentral:rRNA from 1 species